AGGCUCAGAUGUGUGGGUGUGCGAUCGGUCAAAAAGACAAGAAUCACGCCAUGGCUGCAAAACCAUCGGUUGCAUCCGGUUUUGACCAGAUGCCAUCCGGGUCGCCCCGCCAAGAUACAGAUCCAUAUGUCCGAUUACCAGAUCCAUUAAUUAGCUCAGAAGAAUCCAGAAUCAUCAUCACAGCCCCUUCACAUCACAUUGUGAUGUAUAUAUAUACCUAUAUAUAUAUAUGUACUAUGUGUGUGUGUGUAUAUAUAUAGAGAGAGAGAGAGAGAGAGAGAGAGAGAGAGCGCAGCAUAUAUACAAACAAAUAAGGGUAAAUAGCAUUUUACCCCCUUGUGUUUUAUCCCAACAAAUAAAGAUCAAAUAGUACUGCUGCAGACAGCUGGUUGCUGAUCAGUUUUGCAAGGGCUGUUGGUUUGUUUUUUUUCUUCCUUAUUUUAAUGGAAGGUAAGAAAUCAUAGGGUUAACAGAGAGGGGGCAACCACCCUUUAAAAACUCCCAUUUCUCCACUGUGAACCCUCUUUCUCUCUCUUCUGAGCUUUUCACACCCAUCAAUUUACUAUGGCCUAAUCAGUUGUGAAGCUUUAUAUAUUAUUAUUAUUAUUCGUCCCCGGUUUCUACACGUUCUUCGAGACUCGGUUUUGGGCUUUGCUAACUCCGCUGUAUAUUAUUGUAAUAUCUCAAACAUAUUACAAAAACGGUAAAUUCCAAUUUCUCGCUUUUACUUUCGGUUCGAUAUCAUUUACUUUCGAUUGUAUCGAUUAAAAAAUUGUAUCAAUGUGGCUGUGGCUCUCUCCGUUAGUUUUCACACCUUUGAUCUUAACACCAUUUGAUCUAAGUCUGAAAAUCACAAAAAUAUUAUC
rnacentral:lncRNA from 1 species